rnacentral:lncRNA from 1 species
CCCCCUAAAAAGAAGCAGAAUAAUCCCAAAGGGAUAUAAUUCCCAUACCAAUGGAAAAGUAAUCGGAAUCCCCAAAGAAUAAGAUGGCUCUUUCAUGGUUAAAAAUGGUUUGCUUUCUAAUGCGACUUCAUUUCUUUGUUUUUUAAUUUAUUUUUUUGACUGUACGGAUCCCAUAUGGUCUAUUGCAAUAACCCGACCCAAGAGUCAUGGCCCUGAUUUUUGCAUGAAUUUUGGCAUGAUCCCCCCAAAAAAGAAACUUUACGCAGGAAGCAUGU